rnacentral:rRNA from 1 species
GCAGCCGCCGCGGUAAUACGUAGGUGGCAAGCGUUGUCCGGAAUUAUUGGGCGUAAAGGGCUCGCAGGCGGUUUCUUAAGUCUGAUGUGAAAGCCCCCGGCUCAACCGGGGAGGGUCAUUGGAAACUGGGAAACUUGAGUGCAGAAGAGGAGAGUGGAAUUCCACGUGUAGCGGUGAAACGCGUAGAUAUAUGGAGGAACACCAGUGGCGAAGGCGACUCUCUGGUCUGUAACUGACGCUGAGGCUCGAAAGCGUGGGUAGCAAACAGGAUUAGAUACCCGCGUAGUCCCUGUCUCUUAUAC